rnacentral:rRNA from 1 species
UACGGAGGGUGCGAGCGUUGUCCGGAAUCACUGGGCGUAAAGGGCGCGUAGGCGGCCUGGUAAGUAGGGGGUGAAAUCCUGCGGCUUAACCGCAGGGCUGCCUUCUAAACUGUCAGGCUCGAGCACGGUAGCGGCAGAUGGAAUUCCCGGUGUAGCGGUGGAAUGCGUAGAGAUCGGGAAGAACAUCAGUGGCGAAGGCGGUCUGCUGGGCCGUUGCUGACGCUGAGGCGCGACAGCGUGGGGAGCAAACAGG